AGCGAACGCUGGCGGCAGGCUUUACACAUGCAAGUCGAACGGUAACAGGGUGCUUGCACCGCUGACGAGUGGCGAACGGGUGAGUAAUGCGUCGGAACGUGCCGAGUAGUGGGGGAUAACGCAGCGAAAGUUGUGCUAAUACCGCAUACGUACUGAGGUAGAAAGUGGGGGGACCUUCGGGCCUCACGCUAUUCGAGCGGCCGACGUCUGAUUAGCUAGUAGGUGAGGUAAAGGCUCACCUAGGCGACGAUCAGUAGCGGGUCUGAGAGGAUGAUCCGCCACACUGGGACUGAGACACGGCCCAGACUCCUACGGGAGGCAGCAGUGGGGAAUUUUGGACAAUGGGCGAAAGCCUGAUCCAGCCAUGCCGCGUGUCUGAAGAAGGCCUUCGGGUUGUAAAGGACUUUUGUCAGGGAGGAAAUCCCUAGUGCUAAUACCGCUGGGGGAUGACAGUACCUGAAGAAUAAGCACCGGCUAACUACGUGCCAGCAGCCGCGGUAACAC
rnacentral:rRNA from 1 species